ACUCAAAUGAAUAGACGGGGGCCCGCACAAGCGGUGGAGUAUGUGGCUUAAUUCGAUGCAACGCGAAGAACCUUACCAGGCCUUGACAUGCAUUAGACCGCGCCUGAAAGGGCGCUUUCCUUCGGGACUGGUGCACAGGUGCUGCAUGGCUGUCGUCAGCUCGUGUCGUGAGAUGUUGCGUUAAGUCGCGCAACGAGCGCAACCCCUGUCUUUAGUUGCCAUCAUUAAGUUGGGCACUCUAAAGAGACAAACCCUCUCUGAGGGUGGGAAGGUGGGGAUGACGUCAAGUCAGGAUGGCCCUUACGGCCUGGGCUGCACACGUACUACAAUGCUCGGUACAGAGGGAUGCAAUACCGCGAGGUGGAGCAAAUCCUCAAAACCGAGCCCAGUUCAGAUUGUAGUCUGCAACUCGACUACAUGAAGUUGGAAUCGCUAGUAAUGGCGCAUCAGCUACGGCGCCGUGAAUACGUUCCCGGGCCUUGCACACACCGCCCGU
rnacentral:rRNA from 1 species